rnacentral:rRNA from 1 species
UACGUAGGGUGCAAGCGUUGCCCGGAUUUAUUGGGCGUAAAGGGCGCGCAGGCGGCCCGGCGCGUCCGCGGUGAAAGCUCCCGGCUCAACUGGGAGAGGUCCGCGGAAACGGUCGGGCUCGAGCAAGGUAGGGGGUCGUGGAAUUCCCGGUGUAGUGGUGGAAUGCGUAGAGAUCGGGAGGAACACCAGUGGCGAAGGCGGCGACCUGGACCUGUGCUGACGCUGCGGCGCGAAAGCGUGGGGAGCGAUCCGG